rnacentral:tRNA from 2 species
GCCACCUUAGCUCAGUUGGCAGAGCAGUGCUUUCGUAAAGCAAAGGUCCCCGGUUCAAUCCCGGGAGGUGGCUCCA